AAAAAUUAAAUAAAAAAUUAUUAAAUUUUUUGUCUACAAUAUAAAUUAGGACAAACAGUGUUCUGUAAAAUUUAUGUAAAAAGCUCCUGUUAGCUCAACUUGACCUUGCUAGUUCUUUUCCGUUCAGCUACUGCGGUUGAAACAUGUCUUAUUCGUCUGAAAGAAGGUCAGAAGAUUGGCCAGAGGAUUCCAAAAAUGGGCCAUCGAAGGAUCAAGGUAGUUACGAUGGACCUCCGGGAAUGGACCCUGGGACACUUGACACCGACUGGGAUCAAGUUGUCGAAACCUUCGAUGACAUGAACCUCAAAGAAGAAUUGUUGAGAGGCAUAUACGCCUAUGGUUUUGAAAAACCUUCUGCAAUCCAGCAACGCGCAAUAAUGCCUUGCAUCCAAGGACGCGAUGUUAUCGCUCAAGCCCAGUCAGGAACUGGAAAAACUGCUACUUUCUCUAUAUCGAUUCUACAACAAAUCGAUACAAGCAUUCGUGAAUGUCAAGCUUUGAUCCUGGCUCCCACAAGAGAGCUGGCCCAACAAAUUCAGAAGGUGGUGAUAGCUCUUGGUGAUCACUUGAAUGCUAAAUGCCAUGCUUGCAUUGGUGGCACCAAUGUCCGUGAAGAUAUUCGCCAACUGGAGAGUGGUGUUCAUGUGGUGGUGGGCACUCCAGGUCGUGUAUAUGAUAUGAUAACUCGUCGUGCGCUUCAUGCCAACACCAUCAAACUUUUUGUUCUUGAUGAAGCUGAUGAAAUGUUGUCCAGAGGUUUCAAGGACCAGAUCCAUGAUGUCUUCAAGAUGUUGUCAGCUGAUGUUCAAGUCAUAUUACUCUCUGCUACCAUGCCUGAUGAUGUAUUGGAAGUAUCUCGAUGCUUUAUGAGAGAUCCUGUACGCAUACUUGUACAGAAGGAAGAGCUUACCCUGGAAGGUAUUAAACAAUUUUACAUUGCAAUUGAAUUAGAAGAAUGGAAGCUGGAAACUCUGUGUGACCUGUAUGAUACACUGUCUAUUGCACAAGCUGUAAUUUUCUGCAACACCCGUCGCAAGGUGGAUUGGCUCACUGAAUCUAUGCAUCUGCGUGACUUUACUGUAUCUGCUAUGCAUGGAGACAUGGAUCAACGUGAGCGUGAAGUGAUCAUGAGGCAGUUUCGUACUGGCUCUUCUCGUGUCUUGAUCACCACUGAUUUAUUGGCACGUGGUAUUGAUGUACAGCAAGUUUCCUGCGUCAUCAACUAUGAUCUGCCAUCCAACCGUGAAAAUUAUAUUCACAGGAUUGGACGAGGUGGACGUUUUGGUCGUAAGGGAAUUGCUAUCAACUUUGUGACUGAAGCUGACAGGAGAGCACUGAAGGAUAUUGAGGACUUCUACCACACUAGUAUCGUUGAAAUGCCCAGUGAUGUGGCCAACCUCAUCUAAGGCGCCUACAUUUUUCCGAUUUAUAUUCUGUGUCCUGCGUUCUAUUGCGAUAUUUAUAAGAAGAUCUACCCACUGAGCCUGUGAAACGCACUUUGGAUACUUCUAUGUGGAAAUAAUAAAUCGAAAUUUCCUCUAAUGAUCA
rnacentral:misc_RNA from 1 species